GUGGGGAAUCUUCCGCAAUGGGCGAAAGCCUGACGGAGCAACGCCGCGUGAGUGAAGACGGCCUUCGGGUUGUAAAGCUCUGUUAUAUGGGACGAACGUAUCUAUGGCCAAUACCCAUAGAUAGUGACGGUACCGUAAGAGAAAGCCACGGCUAACUACGUGCCAGCAGCCGCGGUCAUACGUAGGUGGCAAGCGUUGUCCGGAAUUAUUGGGCGUAAAGGGCGCGCAGGCGGCCUGUCAAGUCUGUCUUAAAAGUGCGGGGCUCAACCCCGUGAUGGGACGGAAACUGGCAGGCUGGAGUGUCGGAGAGGAAAGCAGAAUUCCUAGUGUAGCGGUGAAAUGCGUAGAUAUUAGGAGGAAUACCAGUGGCGAAAGCGGCUUUCUGGACGACAACUGACGCUGAGGCGCGAAAGCCAGGGGAGCAAACGGGAUUAGAUACCCGAGUAGUCC
rnacentral:rRNA from 1 species